CCCUUAUGAAUAUGGAUGUAAAAAAAAUAAAUAAAAUUCUCACAAACCAAAUCUAAGAGGAUAUCAAAACCAUCAUCCAAAUACUGGCACGAGACCGAUAGCCAACAAGUACCGUAAGGGAAAGUUGAAAAGAACUUUGAAGACAGAGUUCAAGAGGGCAUGAAACCGUUAAGAGAAUUAUUUAUUUUGUGUCUAUGAGAGUACACUGUGACUGUCUUCAGACACACCAGAGGAAGGCCUCAUCCCAUUACCGAUGGUUGUGUGCCACCAUGUGCUUGCUGGGGAUUGAAAACUCAGGACCUCUGGAGGAGCGGCCAGGGCUCUAAACCGCUGAGGCAUCUCUCCAGCCCUCUUUUUCCAGUUUGAAAUAAGCCUCCAUGGUGACCAGACUGCCUUGGGGUAAUCAGAAUGGAGGCCAGAACCAGUCUUUUUUAUGACGCACUGAGACUACAUACCAGCCGAUUUGGAGAAAAAGAUGUCCCUCUCCUUCCCUUCCUCCCUCCCUCCCUCCCUCCCUCCCUCCUUGACCCAUUUUCCCUCUUCCCCUAUACACUCAAUAAAUUUAAAGUAAAUAAAAAAAAAAAACCAUCAUCCAACAUGA
rnacentral:ncRNA from 1 species